rnacentral:rRNA from 1 species
AACGAACGCUGGCGGCAUGCCUAACACAUGCCAGUCGAACGAGACCUUCGGGUCUAGUGGCGCACGGGUGCGUAACGCGUGGGAACCGGCCCUUAGGUUCGGAAUAACUCCCCGAAAGGGGUGCUAAUACCGGAUAAUGUCUUCGGACCAAAGAUUUAUCGCCCUUGGAUGGGCCCGCGUUGGAUUAGCUAGUUGGUAGGGUAAAAGCCUACCAAGGCGACGAUCCAUAGCUGGUCUGAGAGGAUGAUCAGCCACACUGGGACUGAGACACGGCCCAGACUCCUACGCGAGGCAGCAGUGGGGAAUAUUGGACAAUGGGCGAAAGCCUGAUCCAGCAAUGCCGCGUGAGUGAUGAAGGCCUUAGGGUUGUAAAGCUCUUUUACCCGGGAUGAUAAUGACAGUACCGGGAGAAUAAGCUCCGGCUAACUCCGUG